rnacentral:rRNA from 1 species
CAUUCAAAGAGUGCGUAAUAGCUCACUGGUCGAGCGUCUUUGCGCGGAGAAUUUAACGGGGCUAAACCUGACACCGAAGCUUAGGCAAUACAGCAAUGUAUUGGGUAGGGGAGCGUUGUAUACGCGGUGAAACAGUAGCGCAAGCGGCUGUGGAGUGUAUAGAAGUGAGAAUGCCGGAAUGAGUAGCGCGAAUGCAGUGAGAAUCUGCAUGGCCGAAAGCCUCAGGUUUCUGGAGGAAGGUUCGUCCGCUCCAGGUUAGUCGGGAGCUAAGGUGAGGCCUAACGGCGUAGCCGAUGCACAGACGGUAGAGAUUCCGUCACCACCAAAAGAGUUAAGCACAGGGACACAUUUGAAGUCUCGGAGCCGGGUGUUGGUUCCGGUAGCGAUCGAGGGAAGUUAGUACCGAAGUCCGGGAUGGAAGAUGGCGAGAAAAGCUGUGUGUAUUUCUGCGGUGCCCGUACCGCAAACCGACACAGGUAGGUAGGAAGAAGAUUCUAAGGCCAACGGGAGAAGGGUUGUUAAGGAACUCGGCAAAUUGACCCCGUAACUUCGGGAGAAGGGGUGCUCCAGAGAUGGAGCCGCAGAGAAUCGGCCCAAGCAACUGUUUACCAAAAACACAGGUUUGUGCUAAAUCGAAAGAUGACGUAUACGAGCUGACGCCUGCCCGGUGCUGGAAGGUUAAGAGGAGAUGUGCAAGCAUUGAAUCGAAGCCCCAGUGAACGGCGGCCGUAACUAUAACGGUCCUAAGGUAGCGAAAUUCCUUGUCAGGUAAGUUCUGACCCGCAUGAAAGGCGUAAUGAUUUGGGCACUGUCUCAACAGCCCGCCCGGCGAAAUUGUAGUACCGGUGAAGAUGCCGGUUACCCGCGACAAGACGGAAAGACCCCAUGGAGCUUUACUGUAGCCUAAUAUUGGGUUUCGAUGUUGCAUGCACAGGAUAGAUGGGACACAGGGAAACAAGUGCUUUGGCAUUUGUGGAGUGGCCGUUGGGAUACCAUCCUUGCGAUAUUGGAAUUCUAACCUGCGCCUUUGAAUCAAGGCGGGGGACAUUGUUAGGUGGGCAGUUUGACUGGGGCGGUCGCCUCCUAAAGAGUAACGGAGGCGUUCAAAGGUUCGCUCAGCUUGAACGGAAAUCAAGCAAAAGAGUGCAAACGCAGAAGCGAGCCUAACUGCGAGACUGACGGGUCGAGCAGUAACGAAAGUUGGAGUUAGUGAUCCGGUGGUAUGUGAGUGGAAAUGCCAUCGCUCAACGGAUAAAAGUUACCCUGGGGAUAACAGGCUGAUCUCCCCCAAGAGUCCACAUCGACGGGGAGGUUUGGCACCUCGAUGUCGGCUCAUCGCAUCCUGGGGCUGUAUUCGGUCCCAAGGGUUUGGCUGUUCGCCAAUUAAAGCGGUACGCGAGCUGGGUUCAGAACGUCGUGAGACAGUUCGGUCCCUAUCUGUCGUGGGCGCAGGAUAUUUGAUGGGAGCUGUUCCUAGUACGAGAGGACCGGAGCGGACGUACCUCUGGCGCACCAGUUGUUCUGCCAAGGGCAUAGCUGGGCAACUAUGUACGGAUCGGAUAAACGCUGAAAGCAUCUAAGCGUGAAGCCGACCCAAAGAUAAGAUAUCCCAUUGUUUCAAACAAGUAAGACCCCUUGAAGACUACAAGGUUGAUAGGCACGAUGUGUAAGUGGAGCGAUCCAUUCAGCAAGCGUGUACUAAUAGGUCGAGGGCUUGACCAC